GUAGUUUACUACAGAAAAUGACUGAGCGGCGAACGGGUGAGUAACGCGUGAGCAAUCUACCUUAGUUACAGGGAUAGCCCGAGGAAACUCGGAUUAAUACCUGAUAUUCUUUAUAUUUCGCAUGAAAUUAAAAGGAAAGGUCAGCCGAACUAAGAUGAGCUCGCGUUCUAUCAGCUAGUUGGUGAGGUAAAAGCUCACCAAGGCUACGACGGAUAGCUGGUCUGAGAGGACGAUCAGCCACACUGGGACUGAGACACGGCCCAGACUCCUACGGGAGGCUGCAGCAGGGAAUAUUGCGCAAUGAGCGAAAGCUUGACGCAGCGACACCGCGUGUGGGAUGACGGAUCUAGGUUUGUAAACCACUUUCAGGAGGGAAGGAAAUGACGGUACCUCCACAAGAAGCCCCGGCCAACUACGUGCCAGCAGCCGCGGUAAU
rnacentral:rRNA from 1 species